rnacentral:tRNA from 1 species
GGCGGCUUAGCUUAGACGGUAGAGCAUUCCAACCGGAUAUUGGAAGGGUGUGAGUUCGAUCCUCAUGGCUGGUU